rnacentral:rRNA from 1 species
UGACGGUACCUUAAGAAGAAGCACCGGCUAACUACGUGCCAGCAGCCGCGGUAAUACGUAGGGUGCAAGCGUUAAUCGGAAUUACUGGGCGUAAAGCGUGCGUAGGCGGUUAUGUAAGACAGGGGUGAAAUCCCCGGGCUCAACCUGGGAACUGCAUUUGAGACUGCAUGGCUAGAGUACGGGAGAGGGGGAUGGAAUUCCACGUGUAGGAGUGAAAUGCGUAGAUAUGCGGAGGAACACCAAUGGCGAAGGCAAUCCCCUGGACCGGUACUGACGCUCAUGCACGAAAGCGUGGGGAGCAAACAGGAUUAGAUACCCUGGUAGUCCACGCCCUAAACGAU